rnacentral:rRNA from 1 species
AGCAGCCGCGGUAAUUCCAGCUCCAAUAGCGUAUAUUAAAGUUGUUGCAGUUAAAAAGCUCGUAGUUGAAUUUCGGAGUUUGUCGGUUGGUCGGGCUUCACUGUCCGCACUGACCUGAUGGACUCCUACCUUCUGAAUAACCAGCAUGCUAUUAAGUUAGUGCGUUGGGGAAGCAGAGCUAUUACCUUGAAAAAUUGAGUGCUUAAAGCAGGCUUACGCUUGAAUAGAUUAGCAUGGAAUAAUAAAAUAGGACGGCAUGGUUCUAUUUUGUUGGUUUCUAGGAUCACCGUAAUGAUUAAUAGGGAUAGUUGGGGCAUUAGUAUUCAAUUGUCAGAGGUGAAAUUCUUGGAUUUAUUGAAGACUAACUUC